rnacentral:rRNA from 1 species
UACAUAGGGUGCGAGCGUUGUUCGGAAUUAUUGGGCGUAAAGGGCGCGUAGGCGGCGCGGUAAGUCACCUGUGAAAUCUCCUGGCUCAACUGGGAGCUUGCAGGCGAAACUGCCGUGCUGGAGUGUGGGAGAGGUGCGUGGAAUUCCUGGUGUAGCGGUGAAAUGCGUAGAUAUCAGGAGGAACACCGGUGGCGAAGGCGGGCCUCUGGGCCGUAACUGACGCUGAGGAGCGAAAGCGUGGGGAGCGAACAGG